CAUAAACUGCCCCCUGGUGGCGAAUAUGUGUUUCGCUUCAUCCUUGCAUUACGGUGGAGUGGGCGGAGCCUCGUGAAUGACGGUUAAUUUUUUCAAACGAGGAAGUGAAGUCAAGUCCGCCAUUUCAUCUUCUUCUUUUUAUCGGAAAAGAAAGGAAUCAUGCAAGGAUGCAAGCUGAAGGAAAGGACAACUCUCACAUCAGUGCAUUACUAAUUGUUUGACUUCAUCAUCAAGCACACCAGGUGGUGCGGUGCACAGUGGAUAGCUCUGUUGCCUCCCAGCAAAAAUGUUUCUGGUUCGAGCCUCGGCUGGGUCAGUUGGCAUUUCUGUGUGAAGUUUGUAUGUUCUCCCCGUGUUGGCGUGGGUUUCCUCCGGGUGCUCCUGUUUCCCCCACAAGACAUGCGGUACAGGUG